AUGGUGGCGCGCGGCUGAAUGAAAGAAGCUGAAAUCUCCGUCUAAGAUAUGAAUACUGCACCUGCUGAGGACAGUUCAGGACAGACAGCAGACCGCAGAGGACAAGAGCCACAUCAACCGUUCUGUCAAGGACGACCAUGAGUUGGACAGCAGUGACAGCUGCAGACGGUUCUGUGGGCCUACAGAAGGAAACGGGGGUGAUGAAGAACCAGACCUCAGCAAAGCUGGUUUAAGGAAAGGAGGAACUUUUCUGUCAAUAAGGGAAGUUAGCAGACACAUUCCUAGGAAGGAGGAACUGUAGGCAGAGAAAAGAGAAGCAGAUAAAGCUGAAUCUCAGUGGGAGGAGGCCAGUUACAGGCAGUGGACUGAACUUUGACGGUAAAAGAUACACAACAGUUCUGAAAAACAAGACCUGGAAAAGCCAGAAAAGGUAAUAGCUGGAAAAUGUGGCAUCUGGUUGGACGAAGGGACUAAGCCGCCUUGUUAGUCUGUUUUUUGAUAUUUUUCUGAGGUUUGAUUGGACCAGAAGACGACGCCUGCCACUUUAUUAGUUUGGUUUUGGAUGUUUUCCUGAGGUUUCCAAAGACUGGAAGACAGUGGUUUGCUUGAACUGGAAGGAAACGUCCUGCCUGAAGGACGAUGUACGAGGGAAUGAUGAUUCCCACCAAAAUACCACAAGCACCAGCUCAAACCAGCUGAGGACUGGAUUCAGUGAC